GGUCCUGUGGUGUAGUGGUUAUCACGUCUGCUUCACACGCAGAAGGUCGCCGGUUCGA
rnacentral:tRNA from 1 species